UUCUAACCGUAAACGAUGACAACCAGCGAUUAAUCGGCGUUAAUAUAUGACCCGAUUAGCAGCUUCCGGGAAACCAAAGUUUUUCGUUUCCGGGGGAAGUAUGGUUGCAAAGCUGAAACUUAAAGGAAUUGACGGAAGGGCACCACCAGGAGUGGAGCCUGCGGCUUAAUUUGACUCAACACGGGAAAACUCACCCGGCCCGGACACUGUAAGGAUUGACAGACUGAGAGCUCUUUCUUAAUUCGGUGGGUGGUGGUGCAUGGCCGUUCUUAGUUGGUGGAGCGAUUUGUCUGGUUAAUUCCGAUAACGAACGAGACUCUGGCCUAUUAAAUAGACGAUAUAUUUAAAAGUAUAUCGCGCUUCUUAGAGGGACAAGCGGCGUCUAGCCGCAUGAAAUAGAGCAAUAACAGGUCUGUGAUGCCCUUAGAUGUCCGGGGCUGCACGCGCGCUACACUGAAAGAAUCAGAGUGCGUUUUCACCUAGUUCGGAAGAACCGGGUAACCCAAGUAAAUUCUUUCGUGCUUGGGAUAGGGAAUUGCAAUUAUUUCCCUUAAACGAGGAAUUCCCAGUAAAUGCGGGUCAUAAGCUCGCGUUG
rnacentral:rRNA from 1 species